AUUGAACGCUAGCGGGAUGCCUUACACAUGCAAGUCGAACGGCGUGGCGAACGGGGAAGUAAUGUAUCGGCACGUGCCCAGUAGCGGGGGAUAACUACGAGAAAGCGUAGCUAAUACCGCAUACUAUUGGCGCGGCCGAUAUCGGAUUAGCUAGUUGUUGGGGUAACGGCUCACCAAGGCGAAGAGCCGUAGCUGGGUUGAGAGGACGACCAGCCAAACUGGGAAGUAGAAACGGCCCAGACUCCUACGGGAGGCAGCAGUGGGGAAUGUUGGACAAUGGGGGAAACCCUGAUGCAGCCAUCCCGCGUGUGAGAUGAAGGCCUUCGGGUUGUAAAGCACUUUUGGCAGGAAAGCGGUACCUGCAGAAUAAGCACAGGCUAACUACGUGCCAGCAGCCGCGGUAAUAC
rnacentral:rRNA from 1 species